rnacentral:lncRNA from 1 species
UCCACCGCCUCUCUCCGGCAGCCAACCGAACCAAAACCUCAAUCAUCACCCAAUCCCUAACCGACCUAGGGUUGCAUCUUCAGCUCACCCUUUCAACCUCUCCACUGCAAUCCACCAAUCAGGUUGUCAUCAACCUCUUUCAGGUAAACAAAUUUCCUUUUCCAAUUAUUUCCUCACUGCUAACUCUUCCACCACCUUCGAUUUCCCAUUUGCAAUCCCCUGCAUUAGCUAUUUAUUUUUUACGUGUGUUUUGAUCCUUUUAAUGUAACUCACUCUCACUCGUUCUCCACCGCCGCAACACCGUAUCUGAGUCUAUCGCCUCCGCAUCAGCAUUUCCAUAGCCUCAUUCACUCUCGCAAUCUUCCUCACAUCGCACUAAGAAGUCGCUACAUGUACGUUUUUCCUUCUGUGUUCAGUUUCUAACAGUUUGUUCUAGGGUUUCUAUU